rnacentral:rRNA from 1 species
GACAGAGGGUGCAAACGUUGUUCGGAAUUACUGGGCGUAAAGCGUGUGUAGGCGGCUUUGCAAGUCGGAUGUGAAAGCCCCGGGCUCAACCCGGGAAGUGCACUCGAUACUGCAGAGCUUGAGUGUCGGAGAGGUUGGUGGAAUUCUCGGUGUAGAGGUGAAAUUCGUAGAUAUUCGGAGGAACACCAGUGGCGAAGGCGGCUCACUGGUCCGGUACUGACGCUGAGGUGCGAAAGCGUGGGGAGCAAACAGG